UAGCUGGCAAUAAUCUACCAUUACAACCACAGCCUGUCCAUGAAUACUCUUUUCCCUCAUCAUCCUGGUCUGGUAGAUCCAUAAAGGAGCAUAUUAGAACCCCACAGGACCAUAUUGGAUUUCCAAUAAGUAUGUGAACUAAAGACCAAUCAUGCACACCGGUGGAAAAUCUAACAAAAACAAAGCAUUCAACUUUUGACCAGAUUAUUCCUUCACAUAUUUUAAGCCAAUGUCAACAGCACCCAAGAAACAGAUUACCUUCCUUUCCUUUUCCCAGUUCGAGCUCAGAGUAAACAUGGAAACACAUAACAACAGCAAGUCUUUCUACAACUGAUCAGAAUAUUGGUAACUGAGUUUCUGAUGUUUCUUGGCCAUCCUAGUUACUUUCCACAAUCACCUAGUACUACGUGAUCAACAUUAGAAAUACAGCCUCUCACCAUGCAGAGCAAGAAGCAGGACAGUUGUUAUGAUUAACACACAUAACUGCUACCGUUAAACGGUUAGUGAUUACAAACAACAUUUCAUAUUAUUUACUUUCAGAAUGA